rnacentral:lncRNA from 1 species
GUCUUUAAAAAUGGGGCAAAGGUGUACAGGCAAGGGAAGAGAUUAAUUUAAAUUUAAUUGAAAUCUAGACUGAAACAUAUAAAAUAGCUUAAUUAUUUUUCUCAUUUUCUGCGGUUUUCCAAUAAAAUAUUAAAUUUGCCAUCAGAAAAAAUAAUGGCAAAUGUGGAGAAAAUUAUGUCGUAUAAUAGGAGAUUAUUAUUAUUUUGAUUGUUUCUCCUUUGUGGCGUCUUUAACACGAUGCCACUCAAGGUGUUAAAAGCAAGCUCCUGCUCUUAGAAGAGGACCUGGAGGUAUUUGGUACUCCCCUGUGGAAACGGAAGUUGGAACAGAGGAAACAGAGGAAACAGAAAUUCCUUGAGCAACCACAAUUCUCGGUAGCACCAGUUGGUGGAUGGUUCCAAACCCUUUCAGUGUCAAACUCCUGGAGUGUUCCAUUUCCUGAGGGAAAUUCUAUGCCAUUUUCAUGGAUGCUCUUGGAGUUCCCAGCCAGUGUAGAGGCGGUACGUAAGCAAGCAGAAGAAAGCUGCAGGUUGUAGAAGCUCAGACACGUUUAGGUGACGGAAUCCUUCCCACUGGCCUUGUGAGGGAGCAUUUCAUCUUUAGCAUCAAGAGCUGACUUGGUUGGGCCCCCCAGUACAUAGUUGUAUAUUCUAGUUGUGAGUGCCUCUGGUUGUGCUAUGUGGGACGCCGCCUCAGCAUGGCUUGAUGAGCAGUGCCAUGUCUGUGCCCAGGGUCCGAACCUGUGAAAUCCUGGGCUGCUGAAGUGGAGCGCUCGAACUUAACCAC